rnacentral:rRNA from 1 species
GCGUGAGGGAUGACGGCCUAUGGGUUGUAAACCUCUUUUUUCAGGGAGGAAUCAAUGACGUGUACCUGAAGAAUAAGCAUCGGCUAACUGCGUGCCAGCAGCCGCGGUAAGACGGAGGAUGCAAGUGUUAUCCGGAAUCACUGGGCGUAAAGCGUCUGUAGGUGGUCCAAUAAGUCAACUGUUAAAUCUUGAGGCUCAACCUCAAAAUCGCAGUCGAAACUAUUAGACUAGAGUAUAGUAGGGGUAAAGGGAAUUUCCAGUGGAGCGGUGAAAUGCGUAGAGAUUGGAAAGAACACCGAUGGCGAAGGCACUUUACUGGGCUAUUACUAACACUGAGAGACGAAAGCUAGGGUAGCAAAUGGGAUUAGAUACCCCAGUA